AGUCUUAUAGUCAUAAUUUGAUAUAAAAUUGCAAAUUUUAAGGGGUAUAUAAUACUAAGGCUU
rnacentral:tRNA from 2 species